UACGUAGGGCGCAAGCGUUGUCCGGAAUUAUUGGGCGUAAAGAGCUCGUAGGCGGCUUGUCACGUCGGGUGUGAAAUCCACUGGCUUAACUGGUGGCUUGCUUUCGAUACGGGCAGACUGGAGGUAUGCAGGGGGAGAACGGAAUUCCUGGUGUAGCGGUGAAAUGCGCAGAUAUCAGGAGGAACACCGGUGGCGAAGGCGGUUCUCUGGGCAUGUCCUGACGCUGAGGAGCGAAAGUGUGGGGAGCGAACAGG
rnacentral:rRNA from 1 species